UUGGUAAUACUAGCUAAAGCAUCUACAGUGGCAGUUAGCAAUUUGUCAUUAUUUUUAAAAAAAGGUUAAAAGUAUUUAUAAGCCUGCAUUCAUGUUAUGUUUUACAUGAUAAUUUUAUCUAGCUUAGAUGCAAUACUCAAAAUAUAUUAAGCUAUGUGGUUUGUCUUAACUUUGAAAAUGAAAGAUAUUUUCGAAGUUAUUUUAGAGGUCUUGAACGGGACAGCAUGUAGCACAUCUUUUCAGAGUUUCCCAUUUAUGUGGGUCCAUAUAUGUUUUCUCAUAUUGGUUAAUAGUUUUGCUCUCAGUAAGAAAUUCUUGACAAAUUUUCUCCAUUAGAAAUUGCACAGCUAUUUUUCUGCCAUUUUUCCUUAGUGAGACCUGUGGGUUUACUGACAGUCUUUUUUGUUGUAGAUGCAUCAGAGGCAGCAUUCUCCUCAGGCAAAACUCAUGUGAGAUACCUGCACUACGUUAAGCUGAGUAGACAAGUGGGACAUGACUCUUGUAACUUUGCAAGAAAGGUUCAUAGCAGAGAAAUUCUAUUUGAUUUACAAUUGAGUAAAGGAGGGAGAGUUCUAUUUAGGGACCUUGCUGUGCCUUGGCAUGACUCCAAAGCAUGAAGGUGAAAUGCCUUCUAAUGGGGUUGUAUUGCCUGUGGUCUGACUGCAGUUUUUCAGAGUUGCUAGAUUUUCUGUUGGGGAUUUUGGGUGUCUGACGAUGGGAGACAACUGAAGUUGAAGCUGAAGUUCCACCUUUUGCCUGGAAGCAGUCUGAUAGAGCAGGAAGGUGAUAGUCCACUUUUUUCUGUCCACCAGUACAGAGUUGCAGCAAAUCUUUUGAGGUGACUUUAGAGCUUCUUUGUGGAGGAAGGUGAUGGUAAAGAAACCACUUGCUUUUGUUUGUUCAUUCAUCCUGACUAGGUAAACAGAAAUCUGAUUCUGGCAAGCAUAACUUAAGGCAGCCUCACCAUGUAGGCAAUAACCUUAACUUUGAUCUUCCCUGCCUGGUUCCUUUGUGAAAGGGAGCUCAUCUGUGUCUCAUGAGCGAUCGGAGCUUUUUUUUUUACUUUCUUAUUCAGAUACUGAAUUUAGACAGCAGAGCAGAGUGACAUUUAUGCAAAGUAAUAUUAUUUCUCAUAUUUUUCCCUAAGCUUGAAAAUUCUAGCAUUGACUCCUUGCUUACUUCCCACUGCAUUAAACUGAUACUUCUCAGAUACUGACAGCCGUGCACAUAAGGUGAAUGAAGAUUGAGACAAUUGUCAAUCUAUCUGGUAAAAGUGAUGGUAUUUCAAAAGUUUUUUGUGCAGACUCUGUUCUGAAGCUGAAUUGUGAGCCUGCUUUGGCUUUCUCCUAAUCCCAUGUCACAGCAGGAAAUAAUGUAUGACCAGAUGGUGGUGAGAAGAAGAGUUGCUGGGCUUCCACAGUGGAAAUUGUGACUGACUGAGUGAUGAAGUAAAAGCAUUUGGGAAAGGAAAGUGGGAAGGCACUGGUCUGCGAUAGCUCAGAGAUGGAGGGCAUUGAUGGGACUCAGGAUCUGCAGCUCUGAGUGAGCCUCUGAGGUGGUAAGGCCAGUAAGG